CGCGGUGGUCCCACCUGACCCCAUGCCGAACUCAGAAGUGAAACGCCGUAGCGCCGAUGGUAGUGUGGGGCUUCCCCAUGUGAGAGUAGGGAACUGCCAGGC
rnacentral:rRNA from 1 species